GCUUGUCUCAAAGAUUAAGCCAUGCAUGUCUAAGUAUAAGCAUUAUACAGUGAAACUGCGAAUGGCUCAUUAUAUCAGUUAUAGUUUAUUUGAUAGUCCCUACUAUUUGGAUAACCGUAGUAAUUCUAGAGCUAAUACAUGCGUACAGCCUCAACUCACGGAGAGGUGCACUUAUUAGAUAAAGCCAACGCUGGGUAAAACCAGUUUCCCUUGGUGAUUCAUAAUAAUUAAGCGGAUCGCAUGGCCUUGUGCUAGCGACAGUCCACUCGAUUUUCUGCCCUAUCAUGGUUGAGAUUGUAAGAUAGAGGCUUACAAUGCCUACAACGGGUAACGGGGAAUUAGGGUUCGAUUCCGGAGAGGGAGCCUGAGAAACGGCUACCACAUCCAAGGAAGGCAGCAGG
rnacentral:rRNA from 1 species